UCAGACUGUUGUUUUCCAGCAUAAACCAGAAGUCUGAAGUUCUAACAUGCUUUGUCUUAUAUACAUAGAUAUGUUUUCUUGAUUUUUUUGUCAACAUGUAAAAUGUAUAUUUAAACUUUAACAAGUAACUAUUACAUAACACGGGUCCUCAAUAAUAUAUAAAUAAUUUUUAUUUGUAUCAACAAUUGCUCUUCAGUUGGUGUCCCCAUACAUGUACAUGUAAAUAUAUUGUGAAAUAUAAUGUGGGAUUUUUUUUCAUUUAUUUAAUAAGAUGACCUAUAAAUCAGAUUCUCAGCUUUAUGUGUACAUGUAUCAAUAAGUGUUCGGUGUUCUUCAUUUUUCAUUAUUUUUUUUCUCACAACUCUAUUCCCUUUUAUUGUCUUUCAAAAAACUUUACGCUGAUUCUGUGAGAAAUGAUUCACGUGUAGCAUAAUUAGUCUUGCCUAUUUGUUCACAUUGAUCAGUAAACAAGUACUAUUACCUUAUUUUCAUGUAUAAAUCCAUACUUGCAUGCAAUUUACUUUGUGUGUUAUUACAAUAAUGAUAGGACAGCUCAAAAGUGCUAAAUUUGGCUGUCUCAUAAGUAGCUUAAUUGGCUGUCUCAUAAGUAGCGUAAUUAUCAAUUUCUUUCAAAUUCUGUGAAUGACAGAUACUGUUAAGAUUAGUACAUGUUAUGUAAGAUGUAAAAUGGUGUUUAUAUUUUCAUCAAUGUUAUUUCAUUGCUGUUAUAUUCAAUAGAGUUCUCUCUUUGUUAUAGGAUUUAUAGUCUGUCCCAACUAUUGCUCUAUCACUUUUUGAUGAUUUUUAAUUAAAAUACACAUACCUGUGAAAGAAAUACACUUUAAAAUCGAUAAAAAUGAAAAUAUCCACGAUAUCUUUGUUGACGUAUUAUCAUUUUUCAUUCAUGAAAGUUCAGAGGAACGAAGACAAUUAAAUUUCUUAUGAAGAUUAUAAUGGGAAAUAGUUACAUGUACAUCUUUUUACCAUUCAGAACUUGCUUGGAAUAUCUUGCACAAUACCUGUAUUUAAAAGUUAUCAUUUGGGCUAUUUCAUGGCUGAUUCAAUGCAAAAUCCCUGCAGACUUUCUCUUUUGGGUUGUUAUUGAAACCUGAAGCAGUAGAGGGGGCGUUUCAAAACAAAUAAUCUGGACAUUUUUCAUAUUAGUGGAUGAACAUAGUUUGAACACAAAGGUAUUUAUGAUUAUCAAAAUAUGGAGCGAAAAGGGGUGGAAGCAAUAUCUAGGGACAGCUAGAGUAUGAUAAUUCCAAUAUACUUCCAUGACACCUGGUUAGACAUAUUUCAAACAUUUUUCAUCUAAUGUUGAUAAUACAGUAAAUCUUUGUUACUGGAUUUUUUAUUUCAUUUAGAUGUAAGGUCUCUUUUAGAUUGAAUAUUGAGUUCAUAUCUCUUAUGGGAACAAUAAUUCAAUCACAUUUUCUUACUUUUAUACCUUUAUCCAAUUUGAAUAAUGUAGAUCAUAAUGCACAUGAAUUUAAUAUUCAUGGGAGGAAAGUCUCUUCAGGUAUGUCACAUAAAUGAUAAAAUGUUGAAAUUAUUUUUGCAUUACAUUGUGGUAUGGCACAUAUAAAAAUAAAAGUACUUUUAACAAUAUAUGAAGACAUACAUGAUUGUAAUACAUGUACUUUAUCUUUGGUACAUGUGUAACAACAAAACACAUAAUGAUUUUGCUAGAAACUUAUCAAUUGUAACUGUAUUGGUAAGUUUUAAACAUAGAUUAUCAAUUAAAAUUUUAGAUUAAAAUUUCUUGUUAAAGAAAAUUUAGCACAUCCUGAAAUGAUGUGAAUUUCACUGGUAUGUGUAUACAUAUACCGGUACAUGUAUAUGUAUACUUCAGCAUAAAGUACACAAUUUCAAAUCUGAUGACUUGAUAUCCUUAUGGAUUAAUUUGAAAUCCAUUGGAUUUUUCUUCUCUCAUGCAAGGUAAAUAAGAGCUACUUUGCCUUUUAUUACAAUUUCUUUUGUUAUUUGGUUUUGAAUUUGCAAUGUUAUGUUUUUAAUUAUUUUUUGUUUAAACUGGAAGUUGUUUACGCUGCAUUCCAUGAAUAGAAUUUAAAUGUUAUUUUAUAGUCUGUCCUCUUUUUUUUUGUGCAAACUUUAUUUUUUUUUUACGUGAUCCCUUGGUAGACGUGUAAGUAAAAAGAUACCCAUCUACGAGUUCAUUGAAAGCUUUUGUAAUUAUUGUUGCAAUGUUCUACUGAAGCAGUCAAAGAGAGCACUCAUGGAGACUUCUGGAAAGCUGUUAUAUUUUGUUCAAUGUACAUGUAUUACUUUUUAUACUUGAAAUAGUGAGCAUAAAAAAUAAUUAUGAAUAAAUUAUAAAUUAAUAC
rnacentral:sRNA from 1 species